UACGUAGGUGGCAAGCGUUAUCCGGAAUUAUUGGGCGUAAAGAGCGCGCAGGUGGUUGAUUAAGUCUGAUGUGAAAGCCCACGGCUUAACCGUGGAGGGUCAUUGGAAACUGGUCGACUUGAGUGCAGAAGAGGGAAGUGGAAUUCCAUGUGUAGCGGUGAAAUGCGUAGAGAUAUGGAGGAACACCAGUGGCGAAGGCGGCCAACUGGGCUUUUACUGACGCUGAGGCUCGAAAGCGUGGGGAGCAAACAGGAUUAGAUACCCU
rnacentral:rRNA from 1 species